GCCACGGGCCGUGACUGGCGCGCUGGGAUGGGACGGACCAUCGGGGAGCGGCCUUGCUGGAAACAGUGCCGUGCGCCUGGGCCGAACGU
rfam:Streptomyces griseofuscus strain NG1-7 NG1-17_1_1, whole genome shotgun sequence.